rnacentral:rRNA from 1 species
CUACGGGCGGCUGCAGUGGGGAAUAUUGCACAAUGGAGGAAACUCUGAUGCAGCAACGCCGCGUGGAGGAUGACACUUUUCGGAGCGUAAACUCCUUUUAUAUAGGAAGAAGAUGACGGUACUAUAUGAAUAAGCGCCGGCUAACUCCGUGCCAGCAGCCGCGGUAAUACGGAGGGCGCAAGCGUUACUCGGAAACACUGGGCGUAAAGAGCGUGUAGGCGGAUUAAAAAGUCAGAAGUGAAAUCCUAUAGCUUAACUAUAGAACUGCUUCUGAAACUCUUAAUCUAGAAUAUGGGAGAGGUAGAUGGAAUUUCUGGUGUAGGGGUAAAAUCCGUAGAGAUCAGAAGGAAUACCGAUUGCGAAGGCGAUCUACUAGAACAUUAUUGACGCUGAGACGCGAAAGCGUGGGGAGCAAACAGGAUUAGAUACCCGUGUAGUC